UACAGAGGGUGCAAGCGUUAAUCGGAAUUACUGGGCGUAAAGCGCGCGUAGGUGGUUUGUUAAGUUGGAUGUGAAAUCCCCGGGCUCAACCUGGGAACUGCAUUCAAAACUGACUGACUAGAGUAUGGUAGAGGGUGGUGGAAUUUCCUGUGUAGCGGUGAAAUGCGUAGAUAUAGGAAGGAACACCAGUGGCGAAGGCGACCACCUGGACUGAUACUGACACUGAGGUGACGA
rnacentral:rRNA from 1 species